rnacentral:misc_RNA from 1 species
GAUGAAGAACGCAGUGAAAUGCGAUACGUAAUGUGAAUUGCAGAAUUCAGUGAAUCAUCGAAUCUUUGAACGCACAUUGCGCCUGCCAGCACUCUGGCAGGCAUGCCUGUUCGAGCGUCAUUUCAACCAUCAAGCCCUAGGCUUGCGUUGGAGCCCUGCGUCUGCCGCAGGCCCCUAAAAGCAGUGGCGGGCUCGCUAUCACACCGAGUGCAGUAGAUUACUCUUCGCUCAGGGCGUGUGGCGGGUUCCAGCCGUGAAACCCCCUACUUCUCAAGGUUGACCUCGGAUCAGGUAGGAAUACCCGCUGAACUUAAGCAUAUCAAUAAGCGGAGGA